UGGGCAAGCCCAUUUUCGGAAAAAAAAAAUUCUCCCCCUCCCCACCCUUUCAUUCACGCACACACAUAUCCAUCUCCCCCUUCAUCCUUAUAUCCUUUCUUCUCCCCAUUUUCCUCAUUUCUCCUCUCUUCUACCAUACACCCACACACCCGUGAAAGAGAGGGCUGCCGCGUGAAGGAGAGUCGCCGUGGGAGAGGAUUACCGGCUGGAAAAGGGAGAUCCAGCCACGUUGCAGCCCAAGAAAAAGAGAGAAAAAGAAGAAGAAAUAAGAGAUCUGGCCAUGGGCUUUUGUAGGGGCACGUGCCGUGAUUGGAAACUUCAACGUGUUCUCCAAUCUAGAGUUCAAGUAACUAGAACACGGGGGAAAUGUUUGAGUCAAGAGUUCGAUGCAGCCAAGAUGUUCCUUUGGCUGCAGGUACUCCGGUCAUAGGGGAGAGUGUUGUAGAUGUGCACUUUGGAUAAUAUGACCGAAGCUCGCCACGACGGUCAUAAUGGUUGGACCACAGUUGUCCACUAUUUUAUAGGUUUUGUUUAUGGCUGGUGACGCUUUAGUCACUUGUUAUUGUAUAAGCCAUUCCUGUUGUUUAAAUAUUAUGUUGAUAGGACUUAAACAUAUAGAUGUUAAAUGGCUCUGUAUUGUAAAUAAUUUGUAAUAGAUGUAUAAGCUAUGCUUUUUGCUAUUCAGGUUUAUGUUUCCGCUGCA